GAGCCAGCUCAGCCCAGCGGUUCCAUCGACCAACGUAUUGCUUGGAUCCUUCAAUCACUUUCAGCGGUUUGAGACCCGUGGGUGCUGCCUGGCUUAUAA
rnacentral:vault_RNA from 1 species